GAAAUAUCGGUAGUCCAAAAACAUGGAAAUUUCAAUAGAAAUAUUAGAAUAUUAUCGAUAUCGAUAAAAAUUGAAUAAAAACCACGGAAAUUAUAAGAAAACAUGGAAAUUUUUAUUGAAACUUUGGAGAAUGUUUAUUUAGUCAAUUAUCUAUUAGUUUAUCAAAAAAAAAUUAGAAGGAAAUGCAUUACAUGAUAGAUUUAACUGAUUUAAAUUGAUUAUACAGCGAGCUAGCAAACACUGUGAGUGUAGAAAAUAUGUAGUAAUUAAUGAAAAAAAGAUUAAAUACACCAUAAUCAUUUAUAUAUAAUGAUUUACUACAAUAUUUUACACUUUAUACAUUGCAUGGUAAGAUACAUGAGUGAUUUAGUACCACAUAAAGUUCCUAUGAGGUUCAAAAUUUUCACAAUCUUCAUCAUCUCUAUGUGUAGAGUAAGUUUAUUGUGAAGAGUAUUCAUCAAAUGAUAAAUCCCCAAAAUAGUUUUGCAUGUAAUUGUUAACAUGUCACUCAUAUAAAUAUAAAUAUUUUAGCAUAUUAUCACUAAAACAUAAGUGAUAUAUGGUGGUUACGAUGUUGGAGGAGUAAAAUGGGAGGGGUUCAAAUCACCUUUGUGUUUUGUUUUCCUCCUUUUUUUCCCUUUUUUUCCUUUUUUUUUUCUUUUUUUUUUCCUUCCUUUACAUCGAUAUUUUCGAUAUUUUAGCGAUAUUACACCGAUAUUUUGACAAAAUAUUGCUAAAGUGUGAGCGAAAUUAUUGACAUCGAUAUUUUCCGAUAUUGUCGAUAUUUGUACAAUAUGUACAUGGAUAUGUUCCGAAAUAUCCGUGAUUCGAAAAAAAUGAAAUAUCCUCGAUAUUUCGUCGAUAUUAUCGAUAUUUCAGACUAUGGUCUUACCAAACCAAGUGUCUAUAAAAGCUAUUAGAAACAAAAAAAAAAUCGAUAUUUUCCGAUAUUAUAUAUUGUCGAUAUUUGUACGAUAUGUACUGGAUAUGUUCCGAAAUAUCCGUGAUUCGAAAAAACCGAAAUAUCCUCGAUAUUUCGUCGAUACUAUCGAUAUUUCAGACUAUAGUCUUACCGAACCAAGUGUCUAUAAAAGCUAUCAAAAACAAACAAACAAAAAAAAAAAAAAUAUAUAUAUAUAUAUAUAUAUACUGAAAAUAUGACUUUAGCCUGUGAAAUUUAAUUUUCUCCACAUAAAACCCAUCAUAAUUUUUUUUACUCAAAUAAAACCCAUUAAUUAGAUUCUACAUCAGCAAAUUCAUUAAUUAUAUUUGACUUUACACAUUUAAAAAUUUUCAAUGCCCAAAACACCCCUAUUUGAAUGUUUGAUGUACACAAUUAGUUCCAUAUAGAUUGUAAGGGAGAAUUAAUGAUAUUACGAAAAUAAUAAAUAAUAAAUUUAUUGCCUAAUAUAUAAUAACAACAAAACAUGCCUAAUAUAUGUAAUAAUACAUGCUUAGUUAAGUGAACAAAUUAUAUUUUACAUAUAAAUGUAGGUAAAUUAUUUCACACACAUAUAUAUAACAAAAAUUAAAAAUAAAAAAAUGCCUAGUAUACGUAAAAAUUCAUGCAAAAUAAUUUACCUACAAAAAAUGUUAUUUGAUUCAGUGCACCUACUAUUCAAAUUUUAAAAUGUUAGAUUGCUUAAAAAAACCAAAAUAAUUUCCCCACUGUAUGUAAAAUACAUGCAAAAUAAUUUACCUACAUAAUAAAGCAAACCUAAUGUAUGCAAAAUAAUGUACCUACAUAAAAAAAUAUUAUUAUUUUAUUAAAAACUAUUUUACCUAUUAUUUUGUACAUAUAAUAAUAAAAUGUGCCCAAUAUAUAUGAUGAUACAUACAAAAUAAUAUACCUACAAAAUAUAUGUUAUUUGCUCAUCAUAAAUUUACAUAUAGGUAGAUUAAUUAGUAUAAUAUGUUUGAUCAUAUAUCUAUUGUGCAUACAUAUGUACAUACAUACAUAUACAUAUAUAUAUUGAGCUUGUGGUAGUACUAUAUACAUUUGAACGUAUAUAUGUGUAUAUAUAUAUAUAUGUGUGUGUGUGUGUGUGUGUGUGUUAGGGGUAAUAAUAUGCAAUAAAUUAUUUGUUCAUUGUAAUUAAGGUGAGUAAUAAUAUUUAUUGAUUUAUUUUGAAUAUUGUGGUACAAGUUAUAAAUAUUUUGUAUUAAUAGGUCAAUUACUUUCCUACAUGGUAAUCACUUUUAAAUUUGAGUUUUAUUUGAAUGUUUAUAAUUAGGUGGGUUUUUAUAUAGGAAAUAAGAGUUACAAGGUGUAUAUAUAUAUUAAAAUGAAAGACCAGGAAAGUACGACGAGCUCAAACCAACUACGAAACUCUAAUAUAGGAAAAUUCAUUAGAACAACCUCUAAAAGAAUGAGAAGCUUGAAAGCUACAAAGAUCAUGAACAAAAGCUACACCAGCAGAUGGAGGAAGCCUGACAACACAAAGAGCAAACUGACGAAAAAUGAGAAUCCCUGAUAAAGAAAUAAAUUAUUAGUUAAAAGUUUUCCAUGACUACUUCUCUCCUUUUGUGAGAGCGUUCUCUUCUUCUGUGAGAGAUGCUUUCCCUCUUUUGGUAAGGGUUUCCCACUUGACCAUACUCUCCGGCGCCGACUCUUGCUUCUGCUGGAGUCGGUUGCCCUUUUUCCCCUCCUUCUGUUCUCUCCUCUUUUCCCCAUCUCUGGCGUGCCUUCUCUCAUCUUUUCUUCUUCUUAUUUUCUUUUCGCUUCUCCUAAUGUUCUUCCCAAAUUUUACCUCUAGCCUGCCCUGUUCUUCUCUUCCCUCAGAGUAGAGGGUAACGAAGUCGCUCGACUGAAAUGAGAGGGUAACGAGACGGAAGAUGUGAUAGUUCGGGGUGUCAACUAGAGCAAGCUAUCCCGCAUGGAACGAGUGAAGAUCAUACUUGCGCUAUGCUAUGAUCUUUUUUCCUAAAAAAAAAGGGUGGAAACGACAUGCAAAGAAGUUACGAUAUGCCUUGUUCGAUUCAACAUCUCAUUAAAAAAAAUGAGGUUUAUGCUUUUUAUCAAAAACGACAAAGCGACUUUCCCAUCACAGAAGUCGAUAUUCUGGCCAUUCAAAACGCCCUUUUAAACGGAAGUUCAAAAUUUCGCAUUUUGAGAAAGGACAUAUCUUACAUAAACCAUUGGCUCUGAUACCACUGGAAGGGAAAUUUAUGAGAUUUCAUGUGGGAUUUCUAGUGACUAGCAUGCAUAUACAAUUCAAGAUUUAUAUACGAAAGCAACGGAAGCAUGUUAUCAAAUAAUAUCAAAGCUCUAGUCAUGCAAAUCCCCUUCAAGAUGCAUAGGUUCAUGUAAGAUGCAUCAAAAACAAAUUCAUAUAAAAGAACAAAGUUUAGGAGUAGUUUUUAUACCUCUUGAUCU
rnacentral:lncRNA from 1 species